rnacentral:misc_RNA from 1 species
CGCACCUUGCACCCUCUGGAGUUCCGGAGGGUAUGCCUGUCUGAGUGUCUUGUAGACUCAAUCCCCCGGGUUUCCGGGCGAUUGGAUGUGGACGCUGCCUCCGUGGCUCGUCUUAAAUGUGUUAGCGGCACGAGCGCCCGCCUGACGAAUCAAGUUCCGUCGGACGAAGCGUCACCGACCGCUCAUAACCCGCCCUCGGGCAACCUUUUGACUCUGACCUCAGAUCAGGUAGGACUACCCGCUGAACUUAA